UGCUGGAAGCUCAGAGAGGAGUGAGGCAAGACUUUCUCUCUCUAAGAAUUUUCUCCCUCGACAUAAAAGUCGCCGUUUUACGCCGUUUCGCGCCGCGCUCGUUGUUCGCUGAGUGGAGGACUCAAGGGAAAUCUUUGGCACGUGGGGAGAAGGAGCUUUGCUGUGUUUGCUGUGAGGUUACUACCAGGGGAAGCUGAACCUCAGCUUUAGAGAGGUUUUCGGACCACUUGGGGCUAAUUUGGUGACCAGGAAGAUUAGUUUGGAAGGUGUUCCAACCAAGGCGAGAUUGCAAUUGAGCCUUGGAUCCUCUUCAGUUAGC